UACAGAGGGUGCAAGCGUUAAUCGGAAUUACUGGGCGUAAAGCGUGCGUAGACGGUUAUUUAAGUCAGGUGUGAAAGCCCCGGGCUCUACCUGGGAAUUGCAUUUGAGACUGAAUAGCUAGGGUGCGGAAGAGGGAAGCGGAAUUUCCGGUGUAGCGGUGAAAUGCGUAGAUAUCAGGAAGAACACCCGUGGCUAAGGCGGUUCUCUAGUACGGUACUGACGCUGAGACGCGAAAGCGUGGGGAGCGAACAGG
rnacentral:rRNA from 1 species